GAUGAACGCUAGCGGGAGGCUUAACACAUGCAAGUCGAGGGGCAGCAUAGGGUAGCAAUACUCUGAUGGCGACCGGCAAACGGGUGAGUAACGCGUAUGCAACCUACCCUGUACAGGGGGAUAACCCGGAGAAAUUCGGACUAAUAUCCCGUAAUAAUAUCCGGAGGCAUCUUUGGAUAUUUAAAGUUUCGACGGUACGGGAUGGGCAUGCGUAACAUUAGCUGGUUGGUAAGGUAACGGCUUACCAAGGCUAUGAUGUUUAGGGGUCCUGAGAGGGUGGUCCCCCACACUGGUACUGAGACACGGACCAGACUCCUACGGGAGGCAGCAGUGAGGAAUAUUGGUCAAUGGGCGCAAGCCUGAACCAGCCAUCCCGCGUGCAGGAAGACGGCCCUAUGGGUUGUAAACUGCUUUUCCAGGGAGAGAAACUUACGCACGUGUUGCGUGACUGACGGUACCCUGGGAAUAAGCAUCGGCUAACUCCGUGCCAGCAGCCGCGGUAAUCUCGUCCUA
rnacentral:rRNA from 1 species